GUAGGUUUGCGUUUUUUUGGUUGCGGAAGAAAUUGGAUUUACAAAUGGAAAUUAUAAAUGUUUUACGGAAAUUUACAGCUAGUUUCGAGUUUCUCGAGUAAGAACUUGGAUUGUAGUAAAGGAGAACUGAAGUAAAACUUGCUUAUCCGUUUAAUCUUCUAUCUAAGCUGUUCAGCCUCGGGUCGCGUGUACUUUUAGCCUGAACACGGAAGUAGAGUGGAAUAUGUCAUGAGGUGCCAAAGAAGUACCAGUACUCACAGUAGCUCUUUGGAUGUUCAUAUAACGUGGAAAUCUAGGAAAAAUCAAAUGUUAGAUGUCAGGUAAUCUAAGUGCAAUCAGAUGAUGUUAUUCAACAUGCUGUGGCUGCAUUGAACUUGAAGUCAUUUCAGGAACAGAAUCCAGGGAUCAUAAGAGAAAUGUAUGUAUAGCCAAUGAUGAUGAUACCUGCUGGCCAAUCCCUGCCAAAGAAUAACAUAUUCACAGAAAUAUGGCAUCUUUCACACAUAUGGAAUGGAACAUUUUUGCCAAGAUGCUACAUAAACUCUGACACCGAGAAUAUGGCACCUUUCACACAUAUGGAAUGGAAAAUUUUUGCCAAGACGCUACAUAAACUUUGACACCGAGAAUAUGGCACCUUUCACACAUAUGAACAUUUUUGCCAAGACACUACAUAAACUCUGACACCGAGAAUAUGGCACCUUUCACACAGUCAUAUGGAAUGGAACAUUUUUGCAAAGACGCAACAUAAACUCUGACACCGAAUGUACAUUACGACUAGUAGGACAAUAAUGGUAACAUAAAUUACACCAUGUUAAAAACUCUUGUCUUCGGUAUUGCUGCAGCCGGUCAGAUUUUGGAUUUAAUAAAUGUAUUUCAUGAAGUCACUUACAGGACAGUACCUAUUGUCAAAUAAACUGUGUCAUAUGACAUAAGCCCUGCUAAGUCAUUACUAACACUAAGUCUUGUCAACAAAUAUAUUUAUUGCUUAGACUUUAUGAUUUGAUUUUUGUCCAAAAAUAUGCAUAAUUUCUGCAGGAGAUCCUAGACUAGCGCAGUAUUAUUCUGAGAAAGAACAAAAUUAAUUCAUAUUUCUAGAUGCAAAGCUAAUUUUCAUUACAUACACAGAGUUAGAUCUAAUCUUAGAAUUAUUCUGGUAGAUGAAAUAAAUGAGUUCUUUAACCAAAGUAAAAUUGAAAAUUUUGAUAUUAAAAGAUCAAAACAGUGAUGUUACAAAUGACGUCAUGUACCCGAUACGAAAAUUGCAUGCCAGUACUGUAAAACCUGCUUAAGCGGUCACCUCUAAUUAGCAGCCAACCUGUCUUAAGCAGCCUGUGUCUCGAUCAUUUCCCAAAAUGGUCAUUUAUUCUAUAAAUUACCUGCAUUAAGCAGCCACCUGCUGUAAACAGCCACUUUUCCCAACACCCUUGGCUGGCUGUUUAAGACAGGUUUUGCUAUAUAGAAAAAUGUUGAUGUAUGUAAUUCGCAUUCACUCGUGCCACUUGGAAGAGUAAAUAUGAUUAUGUAAUUCAGGUAUUGAUGUUUUCAAGCUUCUGUUUGAUUUGUCGGUUUGUAAUUUCUUUACUUUUCAAAUAUUACACAUCUUUUCAAAUAUUACACAUCAUUCUAAAAUUCUUGAGUUGAGGUAGUAGGAACUUUUAUUCUGGAAUUCACUUUUAGACUGGUGUAUCCAGUGCCUGGCUUAUUUUCAUGUUGAAUGAUUCUAUACAGAUAUUUAUGUCGGAACAAUGCUGAAUUACCUGACGAUAUUAGUCGACAAGCGUCGACAGCGAUGAAAAUUUCAUCGGAAAUUGCUUCAACUAUUUUGGUCCUUCGAGUGUUUGACGCGAGUGGGGAUAUUGCCCAUAUAAAAAAAUUAUCUCAAUAUUUCCUAGGAUGGCGUCAAAUCAGUUGCACUACUGACUAAUAUAUAUAAUCACACGGAAAUGGAAGUCAUUCCGUGUGUACUACAUUAUCAGUCAGGGGUGUAACUGUUUUAAGUUAUAUAACCUAUUUCAGUUACUUUUUCAAGCAUUUUAUAACCUGUAUUAGUUAUAAAAAAUAGUUAACUCAGGUAAGUUAUUAAAAAAAAAGUCUUCCUGCUGUUCACGCAAAGUGACCUUUAAAGUGAAAUUAGUAGCAAACUGUGGUUAAUCAAAUUCUCUUUUAGUCUGACCAUGACCUGAUAAGCAUAAUGGUAUGAUAGGAGUUUUAUGGCUUUAAAACAUUUGCGUAAACCUUUAUCAGCCUUGCAUAAAAAUUUUUAUUGCAUAGCUGAAAAGAUAAAAGUUCAGGGAUUCAGACAAUAAUUGCAUUAGUCACAUUCAAAAUAAGGAAUUGGCACAGGAGGGCUUUGUAAUAUUUUAUGAUAACUGAAACAAGUUAUGGAAGUAUAAGCAAUAACUCAAAUGGGUUAUGAACUGCGGUAACUUGAAACAGUUACACCCCUGACUGAUUAUGACACAGUUGUAAUGAUGAUGAUUAUUGUUGUUUGAACUUGCUGUAAAAUUGGAGCACUUGCACUUUAGCGGUCCCUAUAAUAAUAAUAGUUUAAUAAUGUCUUAAAUAUUAAAAGUUAAAAGAGGUAACUUAUUUUUUAGAUGAAUAUGUUUGGGGGCUGCCGCCCCCACAUCCCUGCUUUGCCCCACAUCCCCAACUUGCUGCGCAUGCGCAUUGUAAAUUUCCAGGGACCACUAAAGUGCAUUCUACCCGUAAAAUUAAUUAUUCUAACACGAUCCGAUUCAUUUUCCUAUUAAACAAAGAAGACAGAAAACAGUGAAUUAUUAUACAACAAAUCACUGUUCUGAUGCACAGUUAUUACGUCAUGGCGUCAAACGGCAUAGCGGCGCACUGGAAAAGAAACCGAUUGAAAACGGGCAAAUAUUUAAUGAAUGUCGGCAAGAAUCCUUGGUAACGUGUUAGAAUCGAAAUAAUACAUCUCAAUUAGUGAUUUGUUCUUGAAUAAAUCAUUUUUGUCGUUCAGAUGCGUAUUAUUAUAUCAUUUGGGCAGCGCCCUCGUGAUAUAAUUCCUUCGCAUCUGAACUCCAAACAAUGAUUUAUUCAACGACAAAUCACUGGAUGAGAUAUAUUAUUUCUUAAUUAUUUUUUAUUACGGUAUAUUGAUUUAUUUCAAAUUUACAACGUUUCACCGAGCACUGGAAUACACCUCGCGGCAAAUGCUGGUUUGACCGCUCUUAGUUGGAUUAAUUUUGUAUUUUAAAUUUGUUUUUAAAGAAAACUCCUGUUAAAUUUUUUUGCUGUUAUAUUCAUUUUUAAAAAAAAAUAAUUGUUGUUGUUAAUGUUUUUUAAUCCAGUCUUGAAAUUUGCUCACUGCAAUAGCAGUGAAUAGGCUACUGUAUUGUUAUUAUUAGAAAUAAAUUUAUGAAGUGAUA